rfam:Lactobacillus amylophilus DSM 20533 = JCM 1125 strain DSM 20533 NODE_16, whole genome shotgun sequence.
GGGGGUGUUUUGGAAUUCGACAGGCGUAGAUUUGCGCUAAUCGCGCUUCGUAGGUCGCGUCUACGUUAAAACGCUCAGUUAAUCAUAACUGCAAACAAUGAUAAUUCAUACGCAUUAGCUGCUUAAUAACCAGUUAGCGUGAUCCAAUCUGGCUUGCCCGGCGCUAGAAUUGGGUCUCAAAAAUACGGGCUACGGUCGUCUCUUUCCACCUGCAAGAACGAACAGAGAUCAUCAGGUUAGUGCGAGCAGGGGAGCCCUGUUAUACGGCGGACUGCUCGUGCGAAAUUCUAAAUAGUAUAACUAUGAGUGUAGAAGUUAGCGACAAAAUGCGUUUGGACAGGGGUUCGAACCCCCUCACCUCCAUUA